rnacentral:rRNA from 1 species
CCUACGGGCGGCAGCAGUGGGGAAUAUUGGGCAAUGGGCGCAAGCCUGACCCAGCAACGCCGCGUGAAGGAAGAAGGCUUUCGGGUUGUAAACUUCUUUUGUCAGGGACGAAGCAAGUGACGGUACCUGACGAAUAAGCCACGGCUAACGACGUGCCAGCAGCCGCGGUAAUACGUAGGUGGCAAGCGUUAUCCGGAUUUACUGGGUGUAAAGGGCGUGUAGGCGGGACUGUAAGUCAGAUGUGAAAACCACGGGCUCAACCUGUGGCCUGCAUUUGAAACUGUAGUUCUUGAGUACUGGAGCGGCAGACGGGAUUCCUAGUGUAGCGGUGAAAUGCGUAGAUAUUAGGAGGAACACCCGGGGCGAAGGCGGUCUGCUGGACAGCAACUGACGCUGAGGCGCGAAAGCGUGGGGAGCAAACAGGAUUAGAUACCCUAGUAGUC